UGGGGUCAACUUUGGUACGGAAGCAGAUCGAAAAAUAGCUACUUUGUUAUUUGUCGUUGCUCUAAAAAGUCAACGGCAACUAAGCAUGCUUCAAGAAUUAGCUUUUUUCUGUUCAGAUCUCGAAAACAUUCAGCGGCUCAGUGAUUGUCGAACAAUAGAUGAAGCGCAAAAAAUUCUGGCUCAAGCCUAAAGUUACGUCUGAAAAAAUCAAUUCAAUUUGAAAUGUUCAAUAAUUAUUGAAAUAAUUUUAUAUUAAAAAAUAAAAUAUUUUAAUUUAAGAGAUCAAACAAAAAAGAUAAGAAGAUUCCUUGACAAAAAAUAGGCCCUAUGAUAAAUUUAAGGUAACUUGUGACAAAGUCGUGCAUGGAUGCACUAAAAAGACACCCUAUCAGUAGUAGGGUGUCUUUUUUUGC
rnacentral:ncRNA from 19 species